rnacentral:rRNA from 1 species
GACGAACGCCGGCGGCGUGCUUAACGCAUGCAAGUCGAACGGAAAGGCCCUGCUUUUGUGGGGUGCUCGAGUGGCGAACGGGUGAGUAACACGUGAGUAACCUGCCCUUGACUUUGGGAUAACUUCAGGAAACUGGGGCUAAUACCGGAUAGGAGCUCCUGCUGCAUGGUGGGGGUUGGAAAGUUUCGGCGGUUGGGGAUGGACUCGCGGCUUAUCAGCUUGUUGGUGGGGUAGUGGCUUACCAAGGCUUUGACGGGUAGCCGGCCUGAGAGGGUGACCGGCCACAUUGGGACUGAGAUACGGCCCAGACUCCUACGGGAGGCAGCAGUGGGGAAUAUUGCACAAUGGGCGGAAGCCUGAUGCAGCAACGCCGCGUGCGGGAUGACGGCCUUCGGGUUGUAAACCGCUUUCGCCUGUGACGAAGCGUGAGUGACGGUAAUGGGUAAAGAAGCACCGGCUAACUACGUG